UACGAAGGGGGCUAGCGUUGCUCGGAAUUACUGGGCGUAAAGCGCACGUAGGCGGUCUUUUAAGUCGGGGGUGAAAUCCUGGAGCUCAACUCCAGAACUGCCUUCGAUACUGUUUGGCUUGAGACCGGAAGAGGUUAGUGGAACUGCGAGUGUAGAGGUGAAAUUCGUAGAUAUUCGCAAGAACACCAGUGGCGAAGGCGGCUCACUGGCCCGUAACUGACGCUGAGGCACGAAAGCGUGGGGAGCAAACAGG
rnacentral:rRNA from 1 species